AUAGCGGAAUCCAAAUUUUCAAAUUUUGUUUUUCUAUCAAGCAAAGCCAUCGCUCGACCGAGACUCGCUUCCUCAGCUGCUUUUCCGGCUCUUCGAAUACUUUGCUUUGAUCAGAUGAAAAUUGCAGCCUGGGAAUUCAAAGUUUGAAACAAUGGCUCACAAUUUUCCUGAGGAAAUCAUACAUGAUAUUCUGUUUAGAUUACCUCCUAAAUCAUUGAUCAGAUGUACCUUUAACUGUCUUCACAAACUCCAUGCUUUUGUUAAUGGAGCCAUUCAUUGGAUUGCAUUCUGCAAUUUGGCACAUCGUGCUUAUGAAUGUUUCAUUUUGGUGUUUGACGUGGGCAGUGAUUCAUUUCAAAGGAUAAUGGUACCAAAAAAUUUCAGAAGCUCAAUGCCCGGCCAGUUGUCUGUUUCAGGUUAUGGGAAAUCUAUUGCUCUCUGCAGGCAUUAUUUCAUUGAUUUUCAUGAGCCUCAUGUUGAGAUAUGGGUGAUGAAAGAGUAUGGCAUGGAAGAGUCAUGGACCAAAUUGACAACUCUAAUUCCACCAGGUCCAGAAAGAUAUUCUUUGAAUCGGCCGUUAUGUUUUAGAAAGAGUGGUGAUGUAGUGUUGGUAGCGUUUGAUGGUUGUGAGGAUGAAGAGGAUCAUGAUAGGCAUGGAUUAGUUUGUCUAGACCUUGUGGGCAAACAAUUUACAAAUCUGGGAAUUGAUGGAUAUAAAUACCACUAUGCUAAAUCUUAUGUUGAGAGCCUCGUCUUACUCGACAACACCGAUGCAGUUUCCUACUGAAGAAAAGAAGAGGUAGAAAACGGGGCAAAUAACCUUCAAGACUCUCACGAUACCUUCUGUGUAGCUGCGUAGUGCUAGCCUUGCUGCUUCUGAUGUUAAAUUGUUCCAAAGUGUAUCAAGAUUUUCAAUAUUUGAUCAAAUAUAACCUUUCUUGUUUAACUAUCUGUAAUUUUGAGUUUCGACAUCGCUCCUACUCGGGAUUUUCUGCCCUGUGAUGAAUAUCCCAAAUGUAUUGCUUGUACUUUUGAGUUUCAGACAUCUAUUGUACCAGGGAUCUGCUGCUUUGUUCAUCCUAAAUGUAUUGCUUCUACUUUUGAGUUUCGAA